GCGAUGAACUAUGCUGUCGCGUCAUAGGCGGUGUAACCGUAUAUGGUGAGGAAAGUCCGGGCUCCGCAGGGCAUGAUGCCGGGUAACUCCCGGGCGGGGGCUGCAAGAAGUUUCCGACAGAAAGCGCAACAGAAAGUAAACCGCUGCCAUUCCCCUGACCAGGUCCUGGUAGGGGGAAUACAGUAAGGGUGAAAGGGUGGAGUAAGAGCCCACCGCGGGAUCGGUAACGAUUCCGGCACGGCAAGCCUCAUCAGGAGCAAAGUCAAACAGCGGUAAAACGGCCCGUUUUAUGCCGCGGGUAGACUGCGUGGAUAGGAUCCGGGAGGAUCCUGCCAGAUAGAUGACAGCCGGUACAUGCUGUAAUGAGCAGGUACCGUACAGAACCCGGCUUAUGGUUCAUCGCUUUU
rnacentral:RNase_P_RNA from 1 species